AAUCAACGCUGGCGGCGUGCCUAACACAUGCAAGUCGAACGCGAGAGGGGCUUCGGCCCCGAUUGAGUGGCGAACGGGUGAGUAACGCGUGGGUGACCUACCUUCGAGUGGGGGAUAACGUCCCGAAAGGGACGCUAAUACCGCAUAACAUCCUGCUUUUGAAUGGGUGGAGAUCAAAGCCGGGGGAUCGCAAGACCUGGCGCUUGAUGAGGGGCCCGCGUCUGAUUAGCUAGNGGUGAGGUAACGGCCCACCAAGGCAACGAUCAGUAUCCGGCCUGAGAGGGCGGACGGACACACUGGGACUGAGACACGGCCCAGACUCCUACGGGAGGCAGCGAGUGGGGAAUUGUUCGCAAUGGGCGCAAGCCUGACGACGCAACGCCGCGUGGAGGAUGAAGGUCUU
rnacentral:rRNA from 1 species